CUGAGCUGUGCUGGACUAAACUGAGCUGGGCUGUGCUGAGCUGAGCUGAACUGGGCUGAACUGGGAUGAGCUGGGCUGAACUGGGCUGAGCUGCGCUGGGCUAAACUGAGCUGGGAUGUGCUGAGCUGAGCUGGGCUGGACUGGGCUGAGCUGAAAUUGGCUGAGCUAGCUGAGCUGAACUACUGGGCUGGGCUGAGCUGUGCAAACGGGUCUGAAUUGGGCUGAGAUGGGGUGAUCUGAGCUGAGCUCGGCUCAACUAGGCUGAUCUUGCCUUAACUGGGCUGAUCUGUGCUAAACAGGGCUGAACUGGGCUGAGCUGGGCUGAAUUAGGCUGAAGAGAAUGAGCUGAGCUGGGCUAACUAGGCUGAGCUGGACUAACUGGGCUGAGCUGUGCAAACAGGGCUGAAUUGGGCUUAACUAGGCUGAGCUGGGCUGAACUGAGCUCACCUGGGCUGAUCUUGGCUUAACUAGGCUGAACUCAGCUGCACUGAGCUGGGUUGAGCUGGGCUGAAUUGUGCUGGGCUGAGUUGGGCUGAGCUGGACUGAGCUGAAUGGGUUCUGCUAGGCUGAUCUUGGCUUAACUGCCUAAUCUGUGCUAAACAGGGCUGAACUGGGCUUAACUGCGCCGAGCUGACCUGAACUGAGUGGAGUCAGGCUGAAUUGGGCUCAGCUAGGUUGAUCUUAGCUUAACUGGGCUGAUCUGUGCUAAACAGGGCUGAGCCUGGCUGAGCUGGCCUGAAUUGGACUGAAUUGAGCUGAGCUGGGCUGAAGUGGGAUGAGCUUGGCUCAACUGGGCUGAGCUGAGCUGAAGUAGGCUAAGUUGGGCAGAACUGGGCUGAGCUGGCCUGAGCUGGGCUGCAGUGACUGGAAAGGGGUUGGUUGAGUGUGGACCACCCCCAGAGUCCUGGUCUCCAAGCAGCCAAUUCACCCUGAUUCUUGGGGGCGCAUGGGGAUGUGCAGCCUCAGGGUGCAUCCGUGAUGCUUUCUCCCCCUUCACCAAUUGCCCUGAUGGGAAUGGAAAGUCCAUGUGGGCAGACCCCCCCCCCCCCCGCCCCGUGUAGCCCAGCCUGUCUGGGUGGGACAUCCCAGACAGACUGAUUUAGAUUUGGGCCUUUGGCCUCAAAACUCUGUAGGCCACAAGGGUUGACUUCUGUUUGUUAGGGGGUGGGAAUGGGAUUAGUAGAGUGGUGGGUGGUUGGACUGGGGCCCUGACUGAUGAAGUGGGAGAGAGGACAGAAGGCACAGGCCCUCUCUCCUCCCCAGUGUCACCUCCAGCACAGCCAAGCCAGCCCCUGGUGCAGGCUCAGCUUCAAAUCAGAGCACUCUGUCCUCACCUGUGCCCUCCCAUGGGCACACCUCUCAUGACCCCCCAGGCCCUGGGGAGGGCAUGGUGUGCCACUGUACAGAGGGGGCUGGGGCUCCGGCGGCACCCACGGAGGGCUGGUCGGGGGAGAAGCAAGGCGUCCGUGACCAGCCCCAGCAUCUUCCCCCUGAGUCUUCGGAGCGCCGACUCGUCUGACCCUGUGGUCAUUGCCUGCCUGAUCCAGGGCUUCUUCCCACUGGGCUACCCAGAGCCCGUUACGGUGACCUGGGGCAAGAGCGGGGACAGCGUGUCUGUCACGACCUUCCCCCCCUCGGAGGCCAAUGGCCUGUACACCGUGACCAGCCAGCUGACCCUGCCAGCCAAAGAGUGCCCAGAUGAAGAAACCGUGAAAUGCGAAGUACAGCAUUACACCAGCCCUAGCAAGUCUGUGGACGUGCCCUGCAAAGAACCUGACGGCUGUUGUAAGUGCCCCUUUUGCGGUCCGCCCCGCCUGUCUCUGCACCCGCCGGCCCUCGAGGACCUGCUCCUGGGCUCCAAUGCCAGCCUCACGUGCACACUGAGCGGCCUGAAAGACCCCCAGGGUGUCACCUUCUCCUGGAGUCCCUCAGUUGGGACAAGACCUAUCCAGAAGACCCCCGUGCGUAACCCCAGUGGCCGCUACAGCGUGUCCAGCGUCCUGCCAGGCUGCGCUGAGCAAUGGAAAAGUGGGACGAAAUUCUACUGCACCGCCACGCACCCUGAGUCCAAAGAGUCACAGACUGUCACCAUCGCCAAAACCACAGUAAACAUCUUCAAGCCCCAGGUCCACCUGCUGCCGCCGCCGUCGGAGGAGCUGGCCCUCAACGAGCUGGUGACGCUGACGUGCCUGGUGCGGGGCUUCAGCCCUAAGGAUGUGUUGGUGCUCUGGCUGCAAGGCAACCAGAAGCUGCCCCGUGAGAAGUACCUAACCUGGGAGCCCCUGCAGGAGCCCGACCAAAGCGUCACCACCUUCGCCGUGACCAGCCUGCUGCGCGUGGAGGCCGAGGCCUGGAAGAAGGGAGAGAGCUUCUCCUGCAUGGUGGGCCACGAGGCGCUGCCCCUGGGCUUCACCCAGAAGACCAUCGACCGCCUGGCGGGUUUCCAGGAGCCAUCUCCCUGGGCAGUGCUGGACCCACCACAGGAGGGCCUGGAGGAGGAUGCUCCAGGAGCCAGCCUGUGGCCCACCACCAUCACCUUGCUCACCCUCUUCUUGCUGAGCCUCUUCUACAGCACGGCACUGACUGUGACCAGCAUCCGGGGCCCAUCCGGCAGCAAAGAAGUCCCCCAGUACUGAGCAGGAGCCAGCCGA